AUUGAACGCUGGCGGAAUGCUUUACACAUGCAAGUCGAACGGCAGCACGGGGGCAACCCUGGUGGCGAGUGGCGAACGGGUGAGUAAUACAUCGGAACGUGCCCAGUCGUGGGGGAUAACGUAGCGAAAGUUACGCUAAUACCGCAUACGAUCUACGAAUGAAAGCGGGGGACCGUAAGGCCUCGCGCGAUUGGAGCGGCCGAUGUCAGAUUAGGUAGUUGGUGAGGUAAAGGCUCACCAAGCCGACGAUCUGUAGCUGGUCUGAGAGGACGACCAGCCACACUGGGACUGAGACACGGCCCAGACUUCUACGGGAGGCAGCAGUGGGGAAUUUUGGACAAUGGGCGCAAGCCUGAUCCAGCAUUCCGCGUGCAGGACGAAGGCCUUCGGGUUGCAAACUGCUUUUGUACGGAACGAAAAGGCUCUGGUUAAUACCUGGGGCUCAUGACGGUACCGUAAGAAUAAGCACCGGCUAACUACGUGCCAGCCGCCGCAGUAA
rnacentral:rRNA from 1 species